ensembl:miRNA mir33 microRNA mir-33
CGGCCAGAGCUGCAGUGCAUUGUAGUUGCAUUGCAUGUAUGUUUCUCAAAGUGCAAUGUACCUGCAGUGCAACACAGAGCUGGACCACAAACUG